UGUGUCAGAUAUUAGGUUGUGUUGUGGAAUGUGUCAGAUAUUAGGUUGUGUUGUGGAAUGUGUCAGAUAUUAGGUUGUGUUGUGGAAUGUGUUAGAUAUUAGGUUGUGUUGUGGAAUGUGUUAGAUAUUAGGUUGUGUUGUGGAAUGUGUCAGAUAUUAGGUUGUGUUGUGGAAUGUGUCAGAUAUUAGGUUGUGUUGUGGAAUGUGUCAGAUAUUAGGUUGUGUUGUGGAAUGUGUCAGAUAUUAGGUUGUGUUGUGGAAUGUGUCAGAUAUUAGGUUGUGUUGUGGAAUGUGUCAGAUAUUAGGUUGUGUUGUGGAAUGUGUCAGAUAUUAGGUUGUGUUGUGGAAUGUGUCAGAUAUUAGGUUGUGUUGUGGAAUGUGUCAGAUAUUAGGUUGUGUUGUGGAAUGUGUCAGAUAUUAGGUUGUGUUGUGGAAUGUGUCAGAUAUUAGGUUGUGUUGUGGAAUGUGUCAGAUAUUAGGUUGUGUUGUGGAAUGUGUCAGAUAUUAGGUUGUGUUGUGGAAUGUGUCAGAUAUUAGGUUGUGUUGUGGAAUGUGUCAGAUAUUAGGUUGUGUUGUGGAAUGUGUCAGAUAUUAGGUUGUGUUGUGGAAUGUGUUAGAUAUUAGGUUGUGUUGUGGAAUGUGUUAGAUAUUAGGUUGUGUUGUGGAAUGUGUUAGAUAUUAGGUUGUGUUGUGGAAUGUGUUAGAUAUUAGGUUGUGUUGUGGAAUGUGUUAGAUAUUAGGUUGUGUUGUGGAAUGUGUUAGAUAUUAGGUUGUGUUGUGGAAUGUGUUAGAUAUUAG